rnacentral:rRNA from 1 species
GACGAACGCUGGCGGCGUGCUUAACACAUGCAAGUCGAACGGAAAGGCUCUGCUUGUUUGGGGUUCUCGAGUGGCGAACGGGUGAGUAACACGUGAGUAACCUGCCCUUGACUUUGGUAUAACUUCAGGAAACUGGGGCUAAUCCCGUAUAGGAUCUCCUGCUGCAUUGUGGGGGUUGGAAAGUUUCGGCGGUUGGGGUUGGACUCGCGGCUUAUCAGCUUGUUGGUUGGGUAGUUGCUUACCAAGGCUUUGGAGGGUAGCCGGCCUGAGAGGGUGAACGGCCACAUUGGGACUGAGAUAGGGCCCAGACUCGUACGGGAGGCAGCAGUGGGGAAUAUUGCACAAUGGGCGGAAGCCUGAUGAAGAAACGCCGCGUGCGGGAUGACGGCCUUCGGGUUGUAAACCGCUUUCGCCUGUGACGAAGCGUGAGUGACGGUAAUGGGUAAAGAAGCACCGGCUAACUACGUG